UUGUCUGCCUAUGCCGAUUGACGUUGUUUACACCUGGGUGAAUGGCACAGAUCUUGAACUACUGAAGGAACUACAGCAGGUCAGAGAACAGAUGGAGGAGGAGCAGAAAGCAAUGAGAGAAAUCCUUGGGAAAAACACAACAGAACCUACUAAGAAGAGUGAGAAGCAGUUAGAGUGUUUGCUAACACACUGCAUUAAGGUGCCAAUGCUUGUCCUUGACCCAGCCCUGCCAGCCAACAUCACCCUGAAGGACCUGCCAUCUCUUUAUCCUUCUUUUCAUUCUGCCAGUGACAUUUUCAAUGUUGCAAAACCAAAAAACCCUUCUACCAAUGUCUCAGUUGUUGUUUUUGACAGUACUAAGGAUGGUAAGAUCUUUUUAUGGAUAUUUUAAAAUCAUGUUAUCAUUGGAUGUUUGAAUAACAAAAUUCUGAGUGGAAUAGAAAUGAUUCAUUCUUAAAUGUCUGAUAAACUUUUCUAAAAAUGCACAAAGAGAAGCAAAACAGCUGCUAUUGUAUUUUGGCCUUAACCUCAAAAAGGGAUUGCUGCAUAUAUUUUACUCUGUGUAAUACACAUACCUUUCUGUGCUGUGAUGAGGACUUUCAAUCUGAUAUCACAAUUACCUUGUUCUCUUCGCUCUGAAUUAUUCUAGAGGCAAUUUUUCUACCAUAUAACUCCUCUACAAGGUAGCGUUCUGCAGUUUGGGCAGAACAUACCUGGAGUAUUGAUUCUUUACAUUCUGAAAUAUAUGAACUGAAUGUGUUUCCUCCAAAAUUUGUAUGUUGAAAUC
rnacentral:sRNA from 1 species